rnacentral:rRNA from 1 species
CCUGACUGCUAUCGGAUUGAUACUAAGCCAUGCGAGUCUUUGUAGUAAUACAAGGCAGACGGCUCAGUAACACGUAGUCAACCUACCCUAUGGACGAGAAUAAUCUCGGGAAACUGAGCAUAAUUCUCGAUAGAUCAUAAUGCCUGGAAUGGUUUAUGGUUAAAAUGAUUCGUCGCCAUAGGAUGGGACUGCGGCCUAUCAGCUUGUUGGUGAGGUAAUGGCCCACCAAGGCGAUUACAGGUACGGGCUCUGAGAGGAGAAGCCCGGAGAUGGGUACUGAGACACGGACCCAGGCCCUAUGGGGCGCAGCAGGCGAGAAAACUUUGCAAUGUGCGAAAGCACGACAAGGUUAAUCCGAGUGAUUUCUGCUAAAGAAAUCUUUUACCAGUCAUAAAACCACUGGUGAAUAAGGGGUGGGCAAGUUCUGGUGUCAGCCGCCGCGGUAAAACCAGCACCUCAAGUGGUCAGGAUGAUUAUUGGGCCUAAAGCAUCCGUAGCCGGCUUUGUUAGUUUUCGGUUAAAUCCAUGUGCUCAACGCAUGGGCUGCCGAAAAUACUGCAGGGCUAGGGAGUGGGAGAGGUAGACGGUACUCAGUAGGAAGGGGUAAAAUCCUUUGAUCUAUUGAUGACCACCUGUGGCGAAGGCGGUCUACCAGAACACGUUCGACGGUGAGGGAUGAAAGCUGGGGGAGCAAACCGGAUUAGAUACCCGGGUAGUCCCAGCUGUAAACGAUGCAGACUCGAUGAUGCAUUGGCAUAUAGCCAGUGCAGUGUCGCAGGGAAGCCGUUAAGUCUGCCGCCUGGGAAGUACGUACGCAAGUAUGAAACUUAAAGGAAUUGGCGGGGGAGCACCAUAAGGGGUGAAGCCUGCGGUUC